rnacentral:lncRNA from 1 species
AUGAUAUGGAUAGAAGAUAUUUGAUCAUUAGUAUAAAGAUGUAUCAGAAGUUGACAUAUUAGAAUUGUUUAGGAUUUUUAUAAUAUUUGAGAUCUACCGAUUGGAAUAAGGUGAAUUUUGACAUAAUAAGUCGAGGACUUAAAAGCAGAGCUGCACACAAAGUAUGAAUGAGAAUUAAAGGUCAGAGAAGGAAAAAUUGGUAGUUAAAGUUCGUCAUU